GGAAGGGAUAAAACUCAGUGGUGGAGCAUCUGCUUUGCAUGCAGAAGGUGUCAGGUUCAGUCCCUGACAUUUCCA